rnacentral:rRNA from 1 species
UACGGGGGGGGCGAGCGUUGUUCGGAAUCACUGGGCGUAAAGGGCGCGUAGGCGGCCCGCACAAGUCUGCGGUGAAAACCCCCGGCUUAACCGGGGGCCGGCCGUGGAAACUGUCGGGCUGGAGGCUGGGAGAGGGCAGCGGAAUUCCCGGUGUAGAGGUGAAAUGCGUAGAGAUCGGGAGGAACACCGGCGGCGAAGGCGGCUGCCUGGACCAGUCCUGACGCUGAGGCGCGAAAGCUAGGGGAGCAAACAGG